rnacentral:rRNA from 1 species
AACGAACGCUGGCGGCAGGCUUAACACAUGCAAGUCGAACGAGAUCUUCGGAUCUAGUGGCAGACGGGUGAGGAACACGUGGGAACAUCCCUUUCAGUUCGGAAUAACGUUGGGAAACUAACGCUAAUACCGGAUACGUCCUUCGGGAGAAAGAUUUAUCGCUGAAAGAUUGGCCCGCGUCUGAUUAGCUAGUUGGUGAGGUAAUGGCUCACCAAGGCUACGAUCAGUAGCUGAUCUGAGAGGAUGAUCAGCCACAUUGGGACUGAGACACGGCCCAAACUCCUACGGGAGGCAGCAGUGGGGAAUAUUGGACAAUGGGCGCAAGCCUGAUCCAGCCAUGCCGCGUGAGUGACGAAGGCCUUCGGGUUGUAAAGCUCUUUUAUCCGGGAAGAUAAUGACUGUACCGGAAGAAUAAGCCCCGGCAAGCUUCGUGCCAGCAGCCGCAGUAA